CAGGGGGUGGUGUGUACCCUGCCCUCCCCUUCUGCUGGUACCCACCAGGUGGCGUUAGUGGCAAAGAGCCCACCUGCCAUGCAGGAAACAUAAGAGACGUGGGUUGGAUCCCUGGGUCGGGAAGAUCCCCUGGAGCAGGAAACGGCAACCCACUCUAGUAUUCUUGCCUGGAGAAUCCCAUGGGCAGAGAAGCCUGGCAGGCUGCCGUCCAUGGGGCCACAAAGAGCCAUACACAACUGAAGCAACUUAGCAUGUACCCAUUAAGAGACCCUCUGAUGUUACCCCUUCAAGAAAAUAACCCAGCAGUUUUGAUGUGAAGAGAUAGAAGCCGGAUCUGUCUUUUCCUCAGGCUUGCCCUCAGUUAUCGUAUAUUGGCCCCUCUCUUCUCUGUCUCCCCAGGGCUUCUGGAGCUUCCAGGUCCCGAGCCUCCUAGAGAUUCUGCCGUGCAAGCUGUGUUGGCGCCUGGCCUUCCCCACUAGUGUUACCGUUCCAUUUUCUUGGAUUUCUAUCUUCCAGUGUUUUGUGGCCACUGUUUUAUUUCCCCUGUCCUUCCAAUCUUUGUAUUUUUUAAAAAAGUCAUCCUUUCUGGUUUUUGUGGUGAGGACGGAAGGGGCAGCAAAAAGAGACAUGGGUGCCUAAUCUGCCAUGAUGACUCACUCCCCCUCCUCGCCCCUGCAACGGACUGACAUUUAGGUUGUCAUCUGUCUCCACCCUAGCUCCCCAACUGUUCUGUGAGACUCUAGCUGGACAUCCAGGAGAAGCUCAGUACACCUCUGAUAGACAGAUUUGUCCUUCCUGCAAAGGAUUUGGACAAGAGGGGGGUCUGUGACAUCUUGCCACCCAUCAUUCAUUCAGCACUCCACAUUAGAGUAUCCAUACGAGGGCUUCAACCCCAAGGACCUGUUGAUCCCAUCCUAUGCCCUAAAGAUUUUUCAACCAGUUUCAGACUGUUCCUCAACCCUGGGCAGCCCCUCUCAAAGGCAGGAUGGUGCCUAAGAACGGGCCCGGCUUUGCAGUGGCCUGAGUGCAUUAGCUUCCAGCCCCAAGGCUCCCUCGCAUAUCCUUGCAGUCUUCUAAUUGCCAUGCCUACAAAUGUAAGAUGAGGGUGAUGAAAGCUUUUCUCCUGCUCCCAGAUGUUUUACAGCACCUGCAAGCUUGAGUGGGGCCAUGUAUCUAAGAGUCUCGUUCUUGUGGCCCUGUUUUUUCUGCAGUGCCCCUUUCAAGCACCUUGAUGUCUCUCCUCCUUCUUGAUGAUGAUUUGUCAGCUAAAAUGAUGUGUGUAACUUUUGAGCUUGAUUGUACGAUCACUGAUACAAGGCCUUCCAGAGCCUUCUGCCUCUGCUGCCACGGUUAGAAGCAUUUCCAGUAGAGGUUGCUGUAUCAGUCUGGGUCAGAGAGUGAGAGCAAGGGUGAAGUGGAACAACUUGCCAAGCUGCGGAGUCGUAAGUGAGAGACAAACCUGGCGUAGGCCAUGGAAAGGUGAGGGGCUCUUUGUUACUGCCACGUAACCUAGCUUCCCUGACUGAUACACCUCGCAGAGUUAUGAGGAUUGUUUAGCAAUGUAUGUGAGUGUGCACAGGCUCUGCCUGGCACUCGGCAAGUACUCAAAAAAUGUGAUCUCGUUGGUGACUCAAGGAGAGCUAAGGGGGAGUGAAUGACUCAGGCAGCCUAUUCCACAUCCAGAUGCAAGAAGCAAAGUUCCUAAGGGGGUUGAUAUGGCCAAAUAAAUGUACACAUUUUAAGCUCCCAAUUCAGUGUAUUGAGCCAGUACUGUGGGGCAGGCCUGGGGCCAGUGCUCAUAUGAAGACAGGGCAUCAUGGUCUGGUUGGGUUCUUAGACACAGGGAACCAGCUCAUGUGACAGUGACUUGAGGUCUUAGAAGUGGUUCUGGUACUUUGAGUGUGCUGGCCCCCUUGGAUACUCCAGUGAGUUCUGUGGGCCUCCUUUCUAGGAGGUCAUGAGCCUCAGUACACCCCCACCCCUGACAUUUUGCAUGUACUUUCUGAAGGGUUCCAGGCCCAGGUUAAAAUGCCUACACUGGGGAAGCCCAGAGGCUUGUGCAGCUAAUGGGCACUUGGCCACGUGUGGCCACGGGAAGGUUCUUUAUAUAGGAGCCACUGAGGCUAAGACCCCAGGUCUCUGUCCCCAGGAACUCUCAGACUAGACAUGGGGGAGAAAGCCUACCACCCAGCUAAAGAGCAGUGGCCCCUGGGGACAUUGGGUUUGGGGGAGAAUUGAAAGGUGAGAACUAAGCGGGACCAGUGCAUGGGGAAGAAUCACCCGAAUUUACUUACUACUUUUCAAUCUGAAAGCUCUUGAGUCUCCAUAUCCUCAUUUAGACACUGGCUGGGGAGUUGGCACAGCAAUUGCCAAGAACCCCACUCCUUGAGGGUAGAGGCCGAGGCCCAGGGAGGGGAGCAAUAUGCUCAGUUCAGUUCAGUUGGACAAACCUUUCCUGACCAGCGGUGCCCAGCCCUGUGGCAGGCGCCAGGUGUCUGGGCAUCACCGGACCAGACAUGUAAGUGGUAAAUUGAUAAGAGGGAUCAGUGAGGAGGUAGGGAUGAGAGGGUUCCUGCUUCCAGCCCCGAACCCCUCACGGUAGUCCCUCUGGGAGGAAGGGAGGCUCCCACGGAAUCAAAGAUGGGCCAAGGGAAGGUGUUUGUGGCCAGAGGACCAGAAGUAGUGAGGGCACAGAGAUGGGCCAAGUGUGGGCAAGAGAGGGCGUGUGAGGACAUGGGGCAGAUUGCAGGGGCCGCUGGGUGGCGGAAGAUGAGCAGGGCCCCACAGCAGGAGGCUGGCGGCAGCAGAGGCCAGAGUGUGCAGCAGUCCUCGCGUCUGACCUGGAGGGCUCAGAUAGGGUCUCCCCACGCUCCCCCAUCCAGGGCCGUGGCCAGGAGCUUGCAUUUUGUUCUCUAUCUUAUUCUUGUGGCUCUGUUUUUUCUGCAGUGCCCCUUUCAACCACCUUGACAUCUCUCCUCCUUCUGGUAUCAUCGUGAACAGAGAAUAGGACCUGGAGUUAAGUGCAGGCUUCACCACUAACUGGCCAUGUGACUUUGGGCCUCAGUUUCUUCAUCUGUAAAAUGAGGGUAGUACAAGCACUCACCCUGCCUACCCCACAGGAGUCCGAGAAAGCUGAAAUAUGCAAGUGGGUAUGAAAGGCCUUUCUAAAUGUGGCAGUUCUUUAAGAACAUAUGUUUAUUUCAGAGUCAAACCUCACUCUUCCUAGGGAACUAGGCAGAGCAGAUAAUUUUAUCCCCAUUUCACAGAUGAGGAAACUGAGGCACAGAGAGAUUAAGUGAUGUACCCACAAUGCCACAAGCAGUGAGUGGCAGAGCCAGGGUCACAAUCCUGUGAGCCUGAAUCUAGUCUCUGCUUCACCAGGCUUUCUCUACAAAACCCCCAUGGAAAGAAAAUCCCUCUGGACUCCACCCAACAGGAACAGACUCUCUAGGCCUCAAGGUCCACUGUUCUGGGAGCAAAUGAGCAGGCCUGGACCCAGGUGUCCCAGCUUCCCAGCAACCGGCCUCAGCUGCGAGGCUGAAGUGCUCACACCUGUGAGGCUGCUCCACCUGAGCAAGGGCGGCUCAAGAGGCCUGGUUCGGUCAGAAGGGCGGCGUGGGCCUGCGAGGAUGGACAGAGGUGGCCUGCGCCCAGGCCCUGGCUGUGUCUCGGAGAAGCUGGUGACCGCAGAGGCACUGGAGGAGGACCUGCUCAGCACUGUCUCACUUGAUGUGCGGCCUCAGUUUACCCAUCUCUGAAGUCAGCAUGAAUUUGGAAGCUGUUUUAAAGAUGACGUAGCUGCCACCAGCUGGAGUCUCUGACUGCCUGGAGGAUGGCCCUGUCCCCAUUCACCACCCUUGAACUCCAAUCUAGGACCGCCCUGAACUAUUGAGACA